rnacentral:rRNA from 1 species
GAUGAACGCUGGCGGCGUGCCUAACACAUUCAAGUCGAACGGAGUUGUUUUGAUUAAUCCUUCGGGAAGCGUCAAGCCAACUUAGUGGCGGACGGGUGAGUAACGCGUGAGCAACCUGCCUCUGCGUGGGGGAUAACGACUGGAAACGGUCGCUAAUACCGCAUAAUGUAACCGGAUUGCAUGAUUUGGUUACCAAAGAUUUAUUGCGCAGAGAUGGGCUCGCGUCUGAUUAGAUAGUUGGUGAGGUAACGGCUCACCAAGUCGACGAUCAGUAGCCGGACUGAGAGGUUGAACGGCCACAUUGGAACUGAGAAACGGUCCAGACUCCUACGGGAGGCAGCAGUGGGGAAUAUUGGGCAAUGGGCGAAAGCCUGACCCAGCGACGCCGCGUGCGGAAGACGGUCUUCGGAUUGUAAACCGCUGUUGACAGGAGAAAUAUGACGGUAACCUGUCGACGGAAGUCACGGCUAACUACGUG